CAGUUCCCAGUGACGGUAACUCACUGUGGCCUCGGUCCCAGGCAACCUGAGCACAGCGACGGUAGGAGGCGGACUGUGGCCGCAGGGUUUGAGGGCGUUCACCGUCAGUCCGCGGUGGAAGAUGCACAGAAGGAAAUGGACUUCCCAGCUCCCGAUUGCUGUACCUGAAAGCCUUGGUGGAGGAGGAGCCGCGGGUGGAGAGCGAUCUUCUCCCUCCGUCGGCCAGCAGUCCGCCCGGGCACACCCCGAGCAAGCACAGGAGGAAGGCAGCUCUGGAGGUGGAUGGUCAGACCCAAGGACCUGGGUCCCCUUCAGCAGAGGUGACCUCUCAUAGGGUGUCAAGGUCGCCGGGUUCGCCUUAAAGUGGCCCAUCUCUCCACUCGGGCAACUGGAGGUCGGCGUGCAGUUCUGUAGGAAAAGAUGUGAUAGCGCUGGAGCGGAUGCCGAGGGGAUGCACCAGGACGUUGUCUGGGAUGGAGCGGUUCAGUUAAACAGCGAGACUGGAGAGGGAGGGUUUGUUCUCCUCGGAGCGGAAGAGACUGACUGAGAAUUCCAGCAAGUUUGAAAUUGGACAAAUCAUGAUGUGAGUGUCUUUAUAAACGUGCAGGUCACGGAAAUGACCAAGAAAGGUUGAGAGAGAAACAUUGGCCAUGACGUCAGGAGAAUGUUUCUUCUAUCCUUUGAAUAGUACCAUGGGAUAUCAAGUCUGAACUCUCGGGAUAACAUCUCAUCUGUGACAAUGAACCACAUGUUUAAGACUUAACACAAAUGUCAGCCCAGAUGCUAUACUCGUGUUCCUGGAAAGGGCUUUAAAUCCACAAAGUACUAACCUCGAGGUUGGACUGAACAAAUGGUGACACUUUUCUUUGGUCUUAUCACAUCUUAUGCAUGUAUCAUGUUUUGGGACAUCAGAUGAUUUGUGUCAGAGGUGCUGUUGUAAGAACAAAGGAAAACAUGAGUGGCCAUUUGGCUCCUUGCUCUUGCUUCACUGUUAAUUAAAAUCAGCACUAAUCUUUGACCUCAGCACCACUUUCCUGCACUAAAUUCUAUAUCCCUUUAUUCCCCUUUUUAUUUGAAAAUCUAUCAAUCUCUGUCUUGAAUAUGGUCAGUAAUCUAGUCUCUACAGCCCUCUGCGAGUAUAGAAUUCUAAAGACUCACUAUUUUCUGGGUGAAGACAUCUCUUGUCACCUCAGCCUUUAAUGGCCAGCUUCUUAUUUUGAGACUCCAGUCUUUGGUCCAAGACACCCCAGCCAGGGAAAACUGUCAAGCCCCAAAAGAGUUUUUAGUAUUUGACUGAAAUCACCUAAUCUCCAAAGUAUAGGCUCGGUCUGUUUAAUCCUUCCUCGUGGGAUAAUCCCUCUCAUUCCAGGAAUCAAUCUGAUGAACAUUUGUUGCACUCGCUCUGUUUCCUCAAAUAAGGAGACCAAACCUGUGCAGAAUGCCCCCCCCCAGUGCUGUCUCAGGACUGUUAUGUAGGGCCCUGGUAUUAAUUCCUGUACUCAAAUCCUUCUGCAAUAAAAGCCAACGUACCAUUUGCCUUCCUAA